GUAAUAUUUAUAAAAAAAAAACAAAUUACUUUCUGCUUGCUUCCUAUAUUUUGUAAAUUUUUAAAGCUUCCUCCCAGACUCAUUUGAGUAUAAGGUGGUUAAUUUUUCCGAAAUAAAUGGAAGGGAUGGCGCAUUUAAUGCAGUGAUUUGAGCUAAUAUAACAACACAAGAAGAUGCUCAAAAUUGUCAAAAAGAAUAUGAAAAUGUUAAUAAAGUAAAUUUUAGAGUUCUAAGAACUUAUCCAAAUGAUUCUAUGAAGCUUGUUUUCAAGAAAGACUAUCGAUGCCAUCGCAAUACUCAGGCUAAUUUGCCUUCAUCAAAGACAAAAAAUCCGUCAUCUAAACAUGUUAACUGUCAGGCAUUCUUAAGAAUUACAGUGAAACAAUCAAGUAUGAAAAGGUAAAGUCUAUUUGCUAAUCUGAGACACAACUACUGUCUAGUGACGUUGGUAAUUUUUUUUGAGAAGUUGGUUGCUAGACGUAACUGGAAAAGACUACACAACCAAACAUAACUACUCAUAGCCAAUAUUAUUAUUAACAGUAAACAGGCAUAAAUAACAUAACAUACACCAAUCAAUAAUUAUUUAUUUACACCUUUAUAAUGUAUUGAUAACAGAUGAGAGAAGCAUUUAUUGUACAAAAUAAAAAUAUUUUAUAGAAAUAAAUUCCACAAAAUUUUA